rnacentral:rRNA from 1 species
UAAGGAAUAUUGGACAAUGCCCGCAAGGGUGAUCCAGCCAUGCCGCGUGCAGGAAGACGGCCCUAUGGGUUGUAAACUGCUUUUACACCGGAGAAAACCUCCCUUCGUGAAGGGAGCUGAUAGUAUGGUGAGAAUAAGCAUCGGCUAACUUCGUGCCAGCAGCCGCGGUAAGACGAAGGAUGCAAGCGUUAUCCGGAUUCAUUGGGUUUAAAGGGAGCGUAGGUGGACUGAUAAGUCAGUGGUGAAAUCUCGCAGCUUAACUGCGAAAUUGCCAUUGAUACUGUUGGUCUUGAGUAUAGUUGCCGUUGGCGGAAUAUGACAUGUAGUGGUGAAAUACAUAGAGAUGUCAUAGAACACCGAUUGCGAAGGCAGCUGACGAAACUAUAACUGACACUGAGGCUCGAAAGUGCGGGGAUCAAACA